CAAUUUUAAUUUCCUUAUUUAAAAAGAACUUUCAAGCAAGAUUUUUUUAUCUAUAGCAAAUAAAACGUUUAUGAGUAACAAUUAUGAACAAGAAUAAUAUAUAGAAGCACUUACCAGUAUUGCAAACUCUGUGUUGCCACAAACUACAGGAAUCACACUGUAAGGCAUGUUGCUUUGUUGUAACUUUUCUAGAACACUCGACGCAGUGGUCGGUACCCAAAUGGAUUUUUUUUCAUGUUAUUUUAUAGAAGUAUUUGGUAAGAUCAAAGAAAUCUCUGUUGUUUUUUCAAUUUUACUCCAAAUCUAUUUUUGGAUACAUGUAUAAUAAAUGUUUGCCUCGGCUUGCCUUUCUAAAAACAUUGUAUCUGUUUGAUGUGACCAUUUGAAUAUAAUUACUUUUCAAUUGCUGAAUCCAUUACAGAUUAGUGAAAUUGUUAAGAAGCCAUUCACUGUCAAUCAAAUUUGUCUUUGUUUAUUUACUAAUCAUAAACACCAAGGAUUAAACACAAUAAAAACACGAACACACGCC
rnacentral:lncRNA from 1 species